rnacentral:rRNA from 1 species
AGUGAACGCUGGCGGUAGGCCUAACACAUGCAAGUCGAACGGCAGCACAGUAAGAGCUUGCUCUUACGGGUGGCGAGUGGCGGACGGGUGAGGAAUACAUCGGAAUCUACUUUUUCGUGGGGGAUAACGUAGGGAAACUUACGCUAGUACCGCAUACGACCUACGGGUGAAAGCAGGGGAUCUUCGGACCUUGCGCGAUUGAAUGAGCCGAUGUCGGAUUAGCUAGUUGGCGGGGUAAAGGCCCACCAAGGCGACGAUCCGUAGCUGGUCUGAGAGGAUGAUCAGCCACACUGGAACUGAGACACGGUCCAGACUCCUACGGGAGGCAGCAGUGGGGAAUAUAGGACAAUGGGCGCAAGCCUGAUCCAGCCAUACCGCGUGGGUGAAGAAGGCCUUCGGGUUGUAAAGCCCUUUUGUUGGGAAAGAAAAGCAGCAGGUUAAUACCCCGCUGUUCUGACGGUACCCAAAGAAUAAGCACCGGCUAACUUCGUG